rnacentral:rRNA from 1 species
UACAGAGGGUGCAAGCGUUAAUCGGAGUUAUUGGGCGUAAAGCGUGCGUAGGUGGAUACCUAAGUUGGAUGUGAAAGCCCCGGGCUUAACCUGGGAAUUGCGUUCAAUACUGGGUAUCUAGAGUAUGGUAGAGGAGAGCGGAAUUUCCGGUGUAGCGGUAAAAUGCGUAGAUAUCGGAAAGAACAUCAGUGGCGAAGGCGGCUCUCUGGUCCAAUACUGACACUGAGGUACGAAAGCGUGGGUAG